rnacentral:lncRNA from 1 species
UGGGGUCUAUUAAGAUUGUAUAGAGUACCACGGGGCUGUUAACUGCUAUCAGGAGAGCAUCACACAGGACAUUCUGUUCUUUCCUGAAGCCAACAUCACCAGCCCAGCUUCUAGAAAAUAUCACAAUCCCCUGAGAACAAGGAUGUAUCAGGGUCUUCAUUAAACCCUCCAGUUCUUUAUGAUCUGAGAACAGCUUCUUACAGAGGGAUUCUGGUUUAAAUUGUACCUCUUCCUGUGUCACUGAAAAUUCAAGGAAUAGAUGUUACCAAAACUUACAAAAGCAUGUGAGCCUCCUUAAAUUUGUGGACUUUUAUGGGAUAUCCGGGACUUUUUCGUGCAGAUGAAGCUGAUGAAAUCAGGCAAGAGUUGUAGUCUGUGACCAAACUGGGAGGAGCUAGACAAUUACAUGGAAAGUUGUUUCAGACAAAAAAUAAAAAGUUAAAAAAAAAAAAAAAAAAGCCUCUUUUUUUGGCUCUUCUUACUGGAGACCUGUGAUGUGCAUGGGUGCCUGAGCAGUCGUACUUACUAUGCGUCAGACAGCUCACGUAUGUCAGGAAAGGAAGUCUGGGGAUUCCUACAGGGGACAUAUCACACAUAUUCUAAGUCACUGUGUGACUCGGCUUGAGCAAGUCAUUUCACCUCUCUCUCACGCUGGAGUGAAGUAAUAAUCCCUAAGCUUCCUUUCAAUUAUAAUAUUCUGACUCCAGGUUAUCUCUAAGAAGAAAAGGCAUCUAGUGGGGAUCAGCAAGGAUUAAAGCACAGUAUUUUAAAAAUGGUGUUGGCCAGAUGUGAUGGCUCACACCUGUAAUCCCAGCACUUUGGGAGGCCGAGGCAGGCGGAUCACGAGGUCAGGAGAUCAAGACCAUCCUGGCUAACACGGUGAAACCCCGUCUCUACUAAAAACAAAAAAAAUUAGCCAGGCAUGGUGGCCGGCGCCUGUAGUCCCACCUAUUCGGGAGGCUGAGGCAGGAGAAUGGGGUGAACCCAGGAGACGGAGCUUGCAGUGAGCCGAGAUAGCGCCACUGCACUCCAGCCUGGGUGACAGAGCGAGACUCCGUCUCAAAAAAAAAAAAAAAUACAAAAAAAUACAAAAAUUAGCUGGGCGUGGUGGUGUGCCUGUAAUCCCAGCUGCUCGGGAGGCUGAGGUGGGAGAAUUGCUUGAACCUGGGAGGCGGAGGCUGCAGUGAGCUGAGAUCGUGCCGCUGCACUCCAGCCUAGGCGACAAAGCAAGACCCUGUC